UUUAAGUGUGCAUGUAGGUGCAUACUAAACUGUAUAAUUGAGGGAUUUGUCAGUUCUGUUAUCAUCUUUCCUCUUCUAAAUGAUCAGAUCAAUGCGUAGUUUUAUGGAAGUGAGCAAUCUUUGUGGACUUCAGUGCUUUGCUAAAUUGAUCUGCUAUCUUGGAAGCCCCAGAAUAUUUUGGGUCAAACUGUGCACAGAGCACAGCAAGGGGUGGGACAGCCUUGCUGAGGUGGAGGAGGAAGGCAAAUGGCAGAUCCCUGAGAGGCAGCGGCCAUGUCGCCACUUCCCAGGAGAGGAGAGACGAUGCCACAGGCGGCUGUAACACACGGGCAGCGUUUGUCUGUCCUCUGUCGGUACUCGGUCUGCGGCCCCAUGGCACCAGCCCGGCCUGGUUCCUCAGCACCGCCAUUUGCUGCCGGGAGGCAGCGGGUAAGAAGAUGUCGUUCGCAAAGAUGGCGGCGGGCGGGAAGGUUGUGGUGGCCGAGGGAGGGCGCUCCAGGGCCGCUGGCCUUCUUCGUGAGCUGGCUCUGUGCGACGGGAGCUAAUCCUGAUUUAUAGCUCCGGUUUUUAAUCUGAUGUGGCUCAAGCUUCAGCAAACUCUGAGGGAUGCAGGCUGUUCCAGUAGUUUCCUGAUGUUUGUAUUUCCUUUUCAUUGCUGCAGAUUACUCCUCACUCUCUCUUGUAUGUGAUAAAAGGAAUCCAAAACAAUAUUUCCAAUAUUGAGAAAUCAUUUAGGAUAAGUCAGAAGAGACACCUGCAACAUACCAGGCUGAGGCAGGAAGAAUAACCUGCAGAAAUACAAGAUAAGAAAGAUCGGGAAAAGUUCUACAGAAUAGA